rnacentral:rRNA from 1 species
ACGGGAGCUGGUUUAUUACCCCUUUUGCACCCUACCUUUCAAAGGGGAUUAACCCGGCCAAAGUCGAACUAUUCCCCCUUAAACCAGGGGCCCCCCUGGGGGGUUUUGGUUAAAAAAUUUCCUUAAUAAUUGGCCUUGCUUCCCUUUAGGUAUUUGGGGAGGUACCGCUUCCCCAACCCAACAAUGGUUAGGGAACCUAAAAGGUGGGCCCCCCCCCCCGGUCCUGAAACCCGAACCAAACCCCUCCGGAAGGCACCAUGAGGAAAUUUGGUCCAUGGGCCGGAACCCUAACCCACCCAAUCCCCUGGAAGAAAAAAGGACCUUUGGUCCUAAACCUCCUUUUUCAGGGAAUUAAAUUGCGGAACUGGCCCGGUUUUGAUGUCCCCCGGAAAUUAAGGUCCGCUUAAUUCCUGGCCACCACCCCCGUAAUUCCGAAGAACCCAACGGUUUCCCGAAUUUUUGGGUUUGAAGGGUG